AUACGGAGGAUGCGAGCGUUAUCCGGAUUUAUUGGGUUUAAAGGGUGCGUAGGCUGUGCGUUAAGUCAGGGGUGAAAUGCCGUCGCUCAACGACGGAGCUGCCCUUGAUACUGGCGUGCUGGAGUACGGAUGCCGUUGGAGGAAUGAGUGGUGUAGCGGUGAAAUGCUUAGAUAUCACUCAGAACACCGAUUGCGAAGGCAUCUGACGAAUCCGUCACUGUCGCUGAGGCACGAAAGCGUGGGGAUAGAACAGAGUUAAAUUCCCUGGUUUUCCACGCCGUAAACGAUGAUGACUAACCGUCGGCGAUAGACAGCCGGUGGCCAAGCGAAAGCGAUAAGUCAUCCACCUGGGGAGUACGUCGGCAACGAUGAAACUCAAAUGAAUUGGCGGGU
rnacentral:rRNA from 1 species